GCUUACACAUGCAGUCGAACGAGAACGGAAUAUAGCUUGCUAUAUUUGUCAGCUAAGUGGCGCACGGGUGAGUAAUAUAUAGAUAACCUGCCCUCAAGAAAGGAAUAACAGUUGGAAACGACUGCUAAUGCCCUAUAUGCCUUUAAUACAUAAGUAUGCAAGGGAAACGCUUUAGUGCUUGAGGAUGGGUCUGUAUGGUAUCAGCUUGUUGGUGAGGUAAUGGCUCACCAAGGCUAUGACGCCUAACUGGUUUGAGAGGAUGAUCAGUCACACUGGAACUGAGACACGGUCCAGACUCCUACGGGAGGCAGCAGUGGGGAAUAUUGCACAAUGGACGAAAGUCUGAUGCAGCAACGCCGCGUGGAGGAUGACACAUUUCGGUGCGUAAACUCCUUUUAUAUAGGAAGAUAAUGACGGUACUAUAUGAAUAAGCACCGGCUAACUCCGUGCCAGCAGCCGCGGUAAUACGGAGGGUGCAAGCGUUACUCGGAAUCACUGGGCGUAAAGAGCGUGUAGGCGGGUAUAUAAGUCAGAAGUGAAAUCCAAUAGCUUAACUAUUGAACUGCUUUUGAAACUGUAUACCUAGAAUGUGGGAGAGGUAGAUGGAAUUUCUGGUGUAGGGGUAAAAUCCGUAGAGAUCAGAAGGAAUACCGAUUGCGAAGGCGAUCUACUGGAACAUUAUUGACGCUGAGACGCGAAAGCGUGGGGAGCAAACAGGAUUAGAUACCCUGGUAGUCCACGCCCUAAACGAUGCACACUAGUUGUUGUGAGGCUCGACCUUGCAGUAAUGCAGUUAACACAUUAAGUGUGCCGCCUGGGGAGUACGGUCGCAAGAUUAAAACUCAAAGGAAUAGACGGGGACCCGCACAAGCGGUGGAGCAUGUGGUUUAAUUCGACGAUACACGAGACCUUACCUGACUUGACAUAGUAGACUUCU
rnacentral:rRNA from 1 species